UAGGGAAUCUUGCGCAAUGGGCGAAAGCCUGACGCAGCCAUGCCGCGUGAAUGAUGAAGGUCUUAGGAUUGUAAAAUUCUUUCACCGGGGAAGAUAAUGACGGUACCCGGAGAAGAAGCCCCGGCUAACUUCGUG
rnacentral:rRNA from 1 species